CCCUCGGGGGAUAGACUCAGUUACGGCGAGUGAAGCGGCAAAAGCUCAAAUUUUGAAACCCUCGGGAUUGUAAUUUGAAGAUUUGGCAUUGGAGAAAGCUAACCCAAGUUGCUUGGAAUAGUACGUCAUAGAGGGUGACAACCCCGUCUGCUAACCGUUCUCCAUGUAUUGCCUUAUCAAAGAGUCGAGUUGUUUGGGAAUGCAGCUCAUAGUGGGUGGUAAACUCCAUCUAAAGCUAAAUACUGGUGAGAGACCGAUAGCGAACAAGUACUGUGAAGGAAAGGUGAAAAGAACUUUGAAAAGAGAGUGAAAUAGUAUGUGAAAUUGUUGAUAGGGAAGGAAAUGAGUGGAGAGUGGCCGAGGUUUCAGCCGCCCCUCGUGGGCGGUGUACUGCCGACGCCGAGUCAUCGAUAGCGAGACGAGGGUUACAAAUGGGAGCGCCUUCGGGCGUUCUCCCCUAACCCUCCACACUGCCACCGACGACAUAAUCCACCCAUUUCACCCGUCUAAAAACGGGGACCAAAAAGUUAAA
rnacentral:rRNA from 1 species